UACGUAGGGUGCAAGCGUUAAUCGGAAUUACUGGGCGUAAAGCGUGCGCAGGCGGUUUUGUAAGUCUGUCGGGAAAUCCCCGGGCUUAACCUGGGAAUGGCGAUGGAGACUGCAAGGCUAGAGUUUGGCAGAGGGGGGUAGAAUUCCACGUGUAGCAGUGAAAUGCGUAGAGAUGUGGAGGAACACCGAUGGCGAAGGCAGCCCCCUGGGUCAAGACUGACGCUCAUGCACGGAAGCGUGGGGAGCAAACAGG
rnacentral:rRNA from 1 species